rnacentral:rRNA from 1 species
AGCCCAGAGAAAUUUGGAUUAAUACCUCAUAGUAUGUGAGAAUCGCAUGGUUUUCACAUUAAAGUUCCAACGGUAAAAGAUGAGCAUGCGUCCCAUUAGCUAGAUGGUAAGGUAACGGCUUACCAUGGCGACGAUGGGUAGGGGUCCUGAGAGGGAGAUCCCCCACACUGGUACUGAGACACGGACCAGACUCCUACGGGAGGCAGCAGUGAGGAAUAUUGGACAAUGGGCGCAAGCCUGAUCCAGCCAUGCCGCGUGCAGGAUGACGGUCCUAUGGAUUGUAAACUGCUUUUGUACAGGAAGAAACACUCCCUCGUGAGGGAGCUUGACGGUACUGUAAGAAUAAGGAUCGGCUAACUCCGUGCCAGCAGCCGCGGUAAUACGGAGGAUCCAAGCGUUAUCCGGAAUCAUUGGGUUUAAAGGGUCCGUAGGCGGUUUAAUAAGUCAGUGGUGAAAGCCCAUCGCUCAACGGUGGAACGGCCAUUGAUACUG